rnacentral:rRNA from 1 species
UGGGGAAUUUUGGACAAUGGGCGAAAGCCUGAUCCAGCAAUGCCGCGUGUGUGAAGAAGGCCUUCGGGUUGUAAAGCACUUUUGUCCGGAAAGAAAUCCUUGGCUCUAAUACAGUCGGGGGAUGACGGUACCGGAAGAAUAAGCACCGGCUAACUACGUGCCAGCAGCCGCGGUAAUACGUAGGGUGCAAGCGUUAAUCGGAAUUACUGGGCGUAAAGCGUGCGCAGGCGGUUUGCUAAGACCGAAUGUGAAAUCCCCGGGCUCAACCUGGGAACUGCAUUGGUGACUGGCAGGCUAGAGUAUGGCAGAGGGGGGUAGAAUUCCACGUGUAGCAGUGAAAUGCGUAGAGAUGUGGAGGAAUACCGAUGGCGAAGGCAGCCCCCUGGGCCAAUACUGACGCUCAUGCACGAAAAGCGUGGGGAGCAAAACAGGAUUAGAUACCCUGGUAGUCCACGCCCUAAACGAUGUCAACUAGUUG